rnacentral:sRNA from 1 species
AUCAAGGAACAUUAAUCGCUUUCAAAAUACAAAACGGGAGGUAAUGAAACAUGGGAACAAUCAUCUGCAAGUCUUGCCGGUCAACAAUGGAGCACUUUGAAGAGGAAAAGGUAACUGUUUUAUACUCUCACUGUGGCUGUGAUCAUGAAACAGAAAACGAAGAGUAAUCACUACAUAAAAAGCUGCUCCGAAUUAAUCGGAGCAGCUUUUUUU